rnacentral:rRNA from 1 species
GUACACGCUGUGACUAGCAUAUCAAUAAGCGGAGGAAAAGAAACUAACAAGGAUUCCCCUAGUAACGGCGAGUGAAGCGGGAAGAGCUCAAAUUUGAAAUCUUAAAGGGUUUCCCUUUACGAAUUGUAGUUUAAAGAAGUGUUUUCUGUUGAGGUUUUGGUAAAAGUUCUUUGGAAUAGGACAUCAUAGAGGGUGAGAAUCCCGUAUUUGACCUUUACUUUCAACUUUGUGAUACACUUUCAAAGAGUCGGAUUGUUUGGGAAUGCAGUCCAAAAUGGGUGGUAAAUUUCAUCUAAAGCUAAAUAUUGGCGAGAGACCGAUAGCGAACAAGUACCGUGAGGGAAAGAUGAAAAGAACUUUGAAAAGAGAGUUAAACAGUACGUGAAAUUGUCAAAAGGGAAGCGUUUGACACCAGUGUUGUUUUUCUGAAAAUCAAUUAAAGAACUGUUUAUGCUAAGUUGUUUAGACUUUAUCAGCUAACUGUUUAGUUUUGAGCUUUUCUUUAAUGCACUUUUCAGUUAACAAGUCAACAUCAAUUUCUUUUGCUGUAAAAAAGCUUGAGGAAGGUGGCUUGAGAUUCGUCUUAAGUGUUUAUAGCCUCUUGCCUAUGCAGUCGGAGAGAUUGAGGUCUGCAGCGUAGAUCCUUCGGGGCUAAAUGCAUUUGUGCUAAGUUAUAACAUUUUAUAGACAACUUGUUGACUAUGAUUUGUCUUGUAGCUUACUCGCUUAUGUUAUUUUACCUACGCUUAGGAUGUUGACGCGCGUGUGUGCGUG